rnacentral:rRNA from 1 species
UCUAUAAUGCAGUCGAGCGGACCGGACCGGAGCUUGCUCUGGUUUGGUCAGCGGCGGACGGGUGAGUAACACGUGGGCAACCUGCCCGCAAGACCGGGAUAACUCCGGGAAACCGGAGCUAAUACCGGAUAACACCGAAGACCGCAUGGUCUUUGGUUGAAAGGCGGCCUUUGGCUGUCACUUGCGGAUGGGCCCGCGGCGCAUUAGCUAGUUGGUGAGGUAACGGCUCACCAAGGCGACGAUGCGUAGCCGGCCUGAGAGGGUGACCGGCCACACUGGGACUGAGACACGGCCCAGACUCCUACGGGAGGCAGCAGUAGGGAAUCUUCCGCAAUGGGCGAAAGCCUGACGGAGCGACGCCGCGUGAGCGAAGAAGGCCUUCGGGUCGUAAAGCUCUGUUGUGAGGGACGAAGGAGCGCCGUUCGAAGAGGGCGGCGCGGUGACGGUACCUCACGAGGAAGCCCCGGCUAACUACGUGCCAGCAGCCGCGGUAAUACGUAGGGGGCGAGCGUUGUCCGGAAUUAUUGGGCGUAAAGCGCGCGCAGGCGGUUCCUUAAGUCUGAUGUGAAAGCCCACGGCUCAACCGUGGAGGGUCAUUGGAAACUGGGGGACUUGAGUGCAGGAGAGGAGAGCGGAAUUCCACGUGUAGCGGUGAAAUGCGUAGAGAUGUGGAGGAACACCAGUGGCGAAGGCGGCUCUCUGGCCUGCAACUGACGCUGAGGCGCGAAAGCGUGCGGAGCAAACAGGAUUAGAUACCCUGGUAGUCCACGCCGUAAACGAUGAGUGCUAAGUGUUAGAGGGGUCACACCCUUUAGUGCUGCAGCUAACGCGAUAAGCACU